rnacentral:rRNA from 1 species
AUUGAACGCUGGCGGCAGGCCUAACACAUGCAAGUCGAGCGAGCGGCGGACGGGUGCGUAAUGUAUGGGGACUGCCCGAUAGAGGGGGAUAACUCCUGGCAACGGUGGCUAAUCCCGCAUACUAUCGGAUAACCCAUAUGGGAUUAGCUAGUAGGUGGGGUAAAGGCUCACCUAGGCGACGAUCGCUAGCUGGUCUGAGAGGAUGAUCAGCCACACUGGGACGGAGACACGGCCCAGACUCCUACGGGGGCAGCAGUGGGGAAUAUUGCACAAUGGGCGCAAGCCUGAUACAGCCAUGCAGCGUGGAGGAAGAAGGCCUUAGGGUUGUAAAUGACUUUCAGCGGGGAGGCGUUACCCGCAGAAGAAGCACCGGCUAACUCCGUGCCAGCCGCCGCGGUAAUAC